UACGGAGGAUCCAAGCGUUAUCCGGAAUCAUUGGGUUUAAAGGGUUCGUAGGCGGUUUAAUAAGUCAGUGGUGAAAGCCCAUCGCUCAACGGUGGGACGGCCAUUGAUACUGUUAAACUUGAAUUAUUAGGAAGUAACUAGAAUAUGUAGUGUAGCGGUGAAAUGCUUAGAGAUUACAUGGAAUACCAAUUGCGAAGGCAGGUUACUACUAAUGGAUUGACGCUGAUGGACGAAAGCGUGGGUAGCGAACAGG
rnacentral:rRNA from 1 species